GCUGCCGUGAUGCGCGCACACGGGUGAGCACCGCGUAUUCGGUCCCAUCCCCUACAACGUGAAGCAUCGGCUACUUUAGAAAACAUGGCAGGAUGCAAGUUCAACAACGGCUUGAAAAGAACGAGUGUUUCUGGUCACGGUCGGUGAAAUGCUUCUGAAUCUGCGUUAUGUGUCGCGAGACUUUCCAGCGGUGGAAUCUCACGUGCAGAGCAAGAAGCACAGAGACUAGCGAAGGCCGCCAGCAGCCCGCGGGGCUAGCUGCUGCUCCGCCGCCCGCAACGACGUCAACUACAACGCUGGAGGUCACCGGAGGAAAUCCAGCGCCGUGCAACAAAGAGCUCAUCACCGAAGACCAACGAUGCAGUGCGUUCUUCAUUCUGUUCCACGAGACUCUGGACCAGACCACCGCGAGCAGACAGCUGGACUUCAUGUGCUCUUGGUGAAAUGACCACGUCCAGUCAGGAUCCUGUGGAGCUCAUGGGCCAUGACACCAGGACCUACUUCAGCACCUCAAAGAGAAUGGACCAAAUGUCAACUGGAAGUUUUUAUAUUAAUACAGUUUGAAAAGGAUUGUUUUCCUAGUAUAUUCACAAAAGCUCAGGAGUAGACAUGAACCUGUGCACAAACAUCCAUCACAUAGAGACAUGAGAACUCACUCACUCACCCACACACACAUACAUUCUAUUAUGUAAAUGAAUUUGCAUUUUAAAAGCAGCUGGAAAUGUUAUUUGUUAUUUUAUGGAUUUUUUUUGUUCAAAAGGAACUAUGUUGCAUGUAUUUUUUAAAUAUAUUUACUUAAUUUUAGAGACAUUUGUUCAUGGGACUUAAAUGUUCUGAAAAUGUAUUAAUAAAUAUAAUUUACAACA